rnacentral:rRNA from 1 species
AGCUCCAAUAGCGUAUAUUAAAAUUGUUGCGGUUAAAAAGCUCGUAGUUGAAUAUCAGGUAGAGUGUUGGCUAGGUCCUUAUGGGCUUAGUCAAUUAAUCUGCCUCGUCAGCCGAUCAGUGUCAUUGUUGCUCUUAACUGACGUGACAAUACGCACGGCAUGUUUACCUUGAAAAAAUUAGAGUGCUUAAAGCAGACCAUUAAUGAGUCUGAAUAGUGGUGCAUGGAAUAAUGGAAGAAGACUCUGGAUUUAUUUGUUGUUUAUAGCGAACCAGAGUAAUGAUUAAAAGGGGUAGUACGGGGGCAGAAGUAUAGCUGCGCUAGAGGUGAAAUUCUUGGACCGUGGCUAGACUAACUACUGCGAAAGCAUCUGCCAAGUAUGCUUUCAUUAAUCAAGAACG